AACUUCGGGAAACCGGAGCUAAUACCGGAUAAUAUUUUGAACCGCAUGGUUCAAAAGUGAAAGACGGUCUUGCUGUCACUUAUAGAUGGAUCCGCGCUGCAUUAGCUAGUUGGUAAGGUAACGGCUUACCAAGGCAACGAUGCAUAGCCGACCUGAGAGGGUGAUCGGCCACACUGGAACUGAGACACGGUCCAGACUCCUACGGGAGGCAGCAGUAGGGAAUCUUCCGCAAUGGGCGAAAGCCUGACGGAGCAACGCCGCGUGAGUGAUGAAGGUCUUCGGAUCGUAAAACUCUGUUAUUAGGGAAGAACAUAUGUGUAAGUAACUGUGCACAUCUUGACGGUACCUAAUCAGAAAGCCAUGGCUAACUACGUGCCAGCAGCCGCGGUAAUACGUAGGUGGCAAGCGUUAUCCGGAAUUAUUGGGCGUAAAGCGCGCGUAGGCGGUUUUUUAAGUCUGAUGUGAAAGCCCACGGCUCAACCGUGGAGGGUCAUUGGAAACUGGAAAACUUGAGUGCAGAAGAGGAAAGUGGAA
rnacentral:rRNA from 1 species